rnacentral:lncRNA from 1 species
AUGCUCUCUCCCAUACAUGCAUACUCACUCCCACAUGCAUAAGGGGCCUGAAAACUAGCCUAAACCCCAACACAAACAACAAGAGAGCAUGCAUUUAUCAUCAAGCACAACAUAACCCUAACAUUUUAGAUCUAACCAAAACAUGCAUCAAUACCCCUUAACCCUUCAUAAAACUUAAUUAAAACAUAAGAAAAAUCAAGGAUCUACACUUACCUCUUGAAGAUCAAGGGUAGAUGCGACCCAAACUUGGAGAUGAGGAGGAAAUGAGCUCCGGAGGUCUCCAAGCUUCAAAACUUUGGAUUAAGCUUAAAAUAUUCAAAAAC